CAGAGACUCUCCCUGGAGUGUCUCAAAUGCAUGCAGUGUGCAUGAACACUGGAUUGGGAUCAGUGAGCUGAAAGAUGCAGAGCAGCACACAUGGCUGGAUGAAUCCCUGUGGAUUGUGGACGGGAAGAACCGUGAGCACUGUUCGUUUUAGAAGGGGAGGGGCACAGAGCUGGGCAAGCUGUAGCCAUGUGCCUGCCUUGAACUCAGCAUUGGGCCAGCCUGGCUAGAGAAGAUGCUCAAAUUUGUGGUGACAUGGAGGUCUGCAUGCAAACCUUGGCCUGGAUAACCUCAGGACCGUUGUUUCUGAUUCCCUGACUGAACUCUGAGGACUUGGGUCUUACCUCCCUGGAUUGACUUACUCUGUCAGAUACCUUCUCUAACGGAACUGCCCCUCCAGACUCCUGCUCACCCUGGUCACAUUCUUCCGGUAAGAUUUUUGCUAAGACUGAGACGUUAUUGCCGGCUGGUGCUCUGUCUUCUUCAUUCCUGGAUCCUCUAACGUAGUAUCUUGCCCAGAGUGGGAACUUGAUAAACAGUGGCUGCAUGAUAGUAUUGACUGUAGCACACAGUGAGCUGGUCAGAGGUGAGUUGGAGAUGCUGUGUUGCUGAGAAUUUGUGUGGAGUCUUAGUGUGAGAAAGCUGAGGAGGAUGGAGUGGGUACUGAAUUAUUUUCUUGUAUACUUCUCUUUUCCCUCUUCUGUAUUUAUUUGCACUGAGCUGAAGUAAGUGUUGGUCAGUGCUUGACUGGAAAUAGACCAUUCCUCUGAAUUAUAUACUCAUUGGCUCCUUGAUUUUUCCAUUUUCUAUCCUUCAUUGCCCUUUCCAGAAUGAUAUGAAUCCCCUUUACCUGAGUAAUAGUGCAGGGGAUUAUCACCUUCCUCAUUUAAAAGAUAUAGUGAUGGGCUUCCCUGGUGGCGCAGUGGUUAAGA